rnacentral:rRNA from 1 species
GGAAUCUUGCACAAUGGGCGAAAGCCUGAUGCAGCAACGCCGCGUGCGGGAAGAAGGCCCUAGGGUUGUAAACCGCUUUCAGCAGGGAAGAAAAUGACGGUACCUGCAGAAGAAGGUGCGGCCAACUACGUGCCAGCAGCCGCGGUGACACGUAGGCACCAAGCGUUAUCCGGAUUUAUUGGGCGUAAAGGGCUCGUAGGCGGUUCGGUAAGUCGGGUGUGAAAACUCGAGGCUCAACCUCGAGAGGCCACCCGAUACUGCUGUGACUCGAGUGCGGUAGGGGAGCGGGGAAUUCCUGGUGUAGCGGUGAAAUGCGCAGAUAUCAGGAGGAACACCAGUGGCGAAGGCGCCGCUCUGGGCCGUAACUGACGCUGAGGAGCGAAAGCAUGGGUAGCAAA